CAAUUUAGGGCACAAUGUAAGGGUGAACAGAACAAUUUAGGGCACAAUUAAAAUGGAAGACUAAAGGGAGCAACACUGGAUACAAAGUAAAACACAAUAUCAAGAACAACGUCAGGGUGAGGUACAAAGUAAAACACAAUAUCAAGAACAACGUCAGGGUGAGGUACAAAGUAAAACACAAUAUCAAGAACAACGUCAGGGUGAGGUACAAAGUAAAACACAAUAUCAAGAACAACGUCAGGGUGAGGUACAAAGUAAAACACAAUAUCAAGAACAACGUCAGGGUGAGGUACAAAGUAAAACACAAUAUCAAGAACAACGUCAGGGUGAGGUACAAAGUAAAACACAAUAUCAAGAACAACGUCAGGGUGAGGUACAAAGUAAAACACAAUAUCAAGAACAACGUCAGGGUGAGGUACAAAGUAAAACACAAUAUCAAGAACAACGUCAGGGUGAGGUACAAAGUAAAACACAAUAUCAAGAACAACGUCAGGGUGAGGUACAAAGUAAAACACAAUAUCAAGAACAACGUCAGGGUGAGGUACAAAGUAAAACACAAUAUCAAGAACAACGUCAGGGUGAGGUACAAAGUAAAACACAAUAUCAAGAACAACGUCAGGGUGAGGUACAAAGUAAAACACAAUAUCAAGAACAACGUCAGGGUGAGGUACAAAGUAAAACACAAUAUCAAGAACAACGUCAGGGUGAGGUACAAAGUAAAACACAAUAUCAAGAACAACGUCAGGGUGAGGUACAAAGUAAAACAUAAUAUCAAGAACAACGUCAGGGUGAGGUACAAAGUAAAACACAAUAUCAAGAACAACGUCAGGGUGAGGUACAAAGUAAAAUACAAUUUUAGAACAACAAUUUAGGGUAUUUUAUAUGUCUGACAGACAUGUAGGGAAAUGAGUUAUGGGAAAGUGGGGAAUUAUAUGUUAGGUCAUAUCGAGGUAGAGUCUACUGUAGUAUGCAUAUUAGAACACAAUCUAAGGAGGUAGGGAACAAUAUGAGGACAUAGGGCAGAAGUGUACAAUGCAUGGGAGUGGAAAGGUGUUAGAGUGAGUAUAUAGUGACUAGCUGGGGUUAUACGCUCGUCACCAGCACCACAUGCAUUGGGCCAUGAGCCUUCAACUCAAUCGUCAUCACAAUCCAAGUCCAACCUUACUACAACCUAAGAGCAACCAUCAAAGUCAAAAGUCAGAGUG